rnacentral:rRNA from 1 species
AUUGAACGCUGGCGGCAGGCUUAACACAUGCAAGUCGAGCGAGCAGCGGACGGGUGAGUAAUGUCUGGGAAACUGCCUGAUGGAGGGGGAUAACUACUGGAAACGGUAGCUAAUACCGCAUACCAUCAGAUGUGCCCAGAUGGGAUUAGCUAGUAGGUGGGGUAAUGGCUCACCUAGGCGACGAUCCCUAGCUGGUCUGAGAGGAUGACCGGCAACACUGGAACUGAGACACGGUCCAAACCCGUACGGAAGGCAGAGGUGGGGAAUAUUGCACAAUGGGCGCAAGCCUGAUGCAGCCAGGCCGCGUGUGUGAAGAAGGCCUUCGGGUUGUAAAGAACUUUCAGCGAGGAGGCGUUACUCGCAGAAGAAGCACCGGCUAACUCCGUGCCAGCCGCGGCGGUAAUA